rnacentral:lncRNA from 1 species
CGGCGGCCGCGUGCUUGCCAGGAAGGCCCGGGGCUUGAGGCCCUGGAAGGCCUGGCCCGUUCAGGAGUCCCGGCUGUUUGGGGGAAUGUCCCACGCCCUGUGGGGAUUUGAGCCGUGUCUCCCGGCCGACUUGGGUGUCCCGGUUGGUGUGUGGUCGGGACUGGGAGGGGCUUGGUGCGGGCGGGAACCGCCGGGUAGCGACCACGUCUCGUCAGGGGGUUCGUGCCUGCUGCUGGGCACGGGAACGGCUCCGGGGGGGUCUUACGGGCGCUGAGGGGAUUCCGCAUCAUGGAGAGGUCAAGGGGAGUUGGUGGCCGUCACCCUUCGUCAGGGCAGGGUAGCAUCAGUGCUCCCGUGCUGGGGUUCCUGGAGAGCCGGCUGGCACGGACAGACUCUUGUGAGGGCAAGUGGCUGAUCGUGCGUCGGAUGGGUCCAGCAAAGGAGAGAAAGCUUCGGUGCGCGCGCGCUCGCCAGGGAAAGGGUGACAGCGGGUGGGACCGAGAGGGAGAGAGAGAGAGGGAGAGAACAAAGGAAGAGAGAGGGUUUCCGCAGGGGCGGUGAGUCCUGGCGGAAGUCCUGAGGCAGAGGAGGUGCCAGGGGUUUGGGUUUCCCGGUCGUGUCGGGGGUGUGGCGCAGGUUGCCCCAGUGGGCCUGAAUGUGCCUCCGUGGGGCACCUUGUUGCCGUGUUGGGGGGCGGGGAGCCGGCCUUGGGGAUCCAUCUUUCGGGCCCUGGGACGUGGGAGAAGAAUGCCGGGGCCUCUCUCUGUGCCCCUGGCACGCCUCUGUGCAGGCCGGGCCUGCACCACCCCCCGCGCCCGUCCCCCAGGCAGGGUCCGUGUGGCUGCAGACACCCAGAGAGAGGGGAGGCUGGGGAGGCUGGGGAGCCGUGGCAGCCCGAUGCAGUGCGGGUCUCCAGGUGGAGGGGCCCUGGUCCCCUGGCGCCAGCGUGGCCCUUCCUCCUUGUGGAAACCCUUGUGGUGUGUGUGCUCUCUCGCCCUGACCCAGGAGAGCAGCAUGGCGGACCCCUGAUCUUGUGGCGUGCCACCGCGCGAGGCCGAGGAGCUCCCGCAGACCAGUGGGCGUGGCGUCCUUGUCGCGGCUCUGUGGAGACCUGGCGAUGGAGAGCAGCAUGGCGGACCCCUGAUCUUGUGGCGUGCCACCGCGCGAGGCCGAGAGC